rnacentral:rRNA from 2 species
AAAGGUCACGGCGAGACGAGCCGGUUAUCAUUACGAUAGGUGUUAAGUGGAAGUACAGUGAUGUAUGCAGCUGAGGCAUCCUAACAGACCGAUAGACUUGAAC